UGCAGUCGAACGGUAGCAGGAAGUGCUUGCACUUUGCUGACGAGUGGCGGACGGGUGAGUAAUACUUAGGAACAUGCCUUUGUGUGGGGGAUAACCAUUGGAAACGAUGGCUAAUACCGCAUAAUGUCUUUGGACCAAAGAGGGCUUUCGGGCUCUCGCGCAAAGAGUGGCCUAAGUGAGAUUAGCUUGUUGGUGAGGUAAAGGCUCACCAAGGCGACGAUCUCUAGCUGUUCUGAGAGGAAGAUCAGCCACACUGGGACUGAGACACGGCCCAGACUCCUACGGGAGGCAGCAGUGGGGAAUAUUGCACAAUGGGGGCAACCCUGAUGCAGCCAUGCCGCGUGUGUGAAGAAGGCCUUCGGGUUGUAAAGCACUUUCAGUUGUGAGGAAAGGUUGAUGGUUAAUACCCAUCAGCUGUGACGUUAGCAACAGAAGAAGCACCGGCUAACUCCGUGCCAGCAGCCGCGGUAAUACGGAGGGUGCGAGCGUUAAUCGGAAUUACUGGGCGUAAAGCGCACGCAGGCGGUUAUAUAAGCUAGAUGUGAAAGCCCCGGGCUCAACCUGGGAAUAGCAUUUAGAACUGUAUGACUAGAGUCUUGGAGAGGGGAGUGGAAUUCCAGGUGUAGCGGUG
rnacentral:rRNA from 1 species